GGGAUAGUGGUUGUAUGUUUCCCAGUUAUUGGGUUGCUCUUUAUACUUGUGAUGACUAUGGUUCUGUGGAGCCCCAGGAGGAGCAACGGCCGGAGGGAAAACAGGUAAGUAACAGCGAUGGGAGCGGUUUCCCUGGGAGAUAACCUCUCUUUCCCCCUCCCUAUCCCACUAGAACUCCAGAAGAGACAGGCCAGAGCAGAGGCUGUAGGAAGAGAAUAAGCAGAGGCUUUCAGGAGGUGGGGAUGGCCAGAGCCAGGGCUUGAGUGGAUUAGCCUGGCUCUGGACUGUGCUGGAGGGGUGAAUGUCCUGAGAUUGUAUUGUAUUUGCAGCCCUGAAGCAGGAGCGGAGAACUGCCUUCCUAUAGACUCAGCAGCAGGAGCAGUUGGUAAGGCGAGAGAAAAAGCAGAGAAUUGCCUUCAUACAGACUCAGCAGGAGCAGUUGGUGAGGUGAGAGAAAAAGCGGAGAUCUGCCCAUGUACCGACCCAGCAAGGAAGGAGAACUGCCUGGGAACCAACCUUGGUGAGGUGAAUGAAUAGCUGGAGAUGAGAGUAUCCAAGUUAUGACCUUCUGAACUUCAAAAGCCCAGAAGAACCAUCAGAGGUCAGUAGCAGAGACCCUUGGAUCCAGCAGCAGAAACCACAUGGCCCAGCUAGCAUCAAUUGGACCCAGAAGCUGAGACCACAUUGGAAGGAACCAGUCCUGUGGAGCAAGAGGACAAUUCAUCCAUUGUGAUGCCACAGCCUGACGCAAACUUAGUGAGGACUCGAUGAAGAGAGAAAAGACUCUCAGGGUCAGCCACUACAAGGUUCUCCUUGGCCCCACACGUCACCUACACGUGUACUCACUGCAUUAGAAUCAACUACUAUAAGACUGAAUCCACUCUCUCCAGGGCCAUUGUAUAUGCAAGGGGAGAAUGGACUUCCUGUUUGGGGCAUGUAUUUGCACUCUCUGUCCUCGAUAUACUUUCUUAAUAAAUAUCCCUUUGCAAAAGCUAA